GCGGUGCAAUUAUGGCAGGCAGCAGUGGGUAUGGCUUCUGGAGUGGGCGUGUUCCUGAUGGGAUUGACAGCUGUCUAUCUCUGCAGGAGGACCAAGAAAACCAAUUCUCAGAGACCUACAGCCAGACAGGAUGAUCAC